AGAGUUCGAUUAUGGCUCAGGAUGAACGCUGGCGGCGUGCUUAACACAUGCAAGUCGAACGAAACACUUUAUUUGAUUUUCUUCGGAACUGAAGAUUUGGUGAUUGAGUGGCGGACGGGUGAGUAACGCGUGGGUAACCUGCCCUGUACAGGGGGAUAACAGUCAGAAAUGACUGCUAAUACCGCAUAAGACCAUAGCACCGCAUGGUGCAGGGGUAAAAACUCCGGUGGUACAGGAUGGACCCGCGUCUGAUUAGCUGGUUGGUGAGGUAACGGCUCACCAAGGCGACGAUCAGUAGCCGGCUUGAGAGAGUGAACGGCCACAUUGGGACUGAGACACGGCCCAA
rnacentral:rRNA from 1 species